GGGAGCAAGUGGAGAGCUCUCAGGCCAUGGGUGAUUAAGGAAGCAUUAAAAGAUACCUUUUUUGUCAAGACUCAGAGCUCCAGAGCACUGCCGUAGUCGGAGAGGAUAAAGAACUUUGUCGAAGGUCUGAUGCCCUUCAGAAGUACCAAAUUACGGCAAGUGGUGGGUCUUUGCCGUUCUCUUUCUUCCACAGCUCAGCUGUUGAGAGCAGAUGUUUACCUGAGAAAUCCCUGCCUGCCACAGGAAAAAGGGCAGGUCUUUGGUGGCUGAGAGAAGAACAGCAGUUUUGAAACCUUUUCCAUUGUGAUACGGCUAGUGUCUGCUGUGCCGCUGUUCAGCGCUCUGACUGCAACAUGAAAUGGCAAGCUUAGUGCAGCCUGCUUGGUUCUUGACAGCAUCUGCUAAGCUGGCAUCUAUUUUGCAACUGUUGGUGCUAUUCUUUGUCCGCACAGUACUGUAGCAAUAACUGUUGGUUUGUAUUUUGACAAAUCCUUCUUUAGUUGUGAAGGGGAUAGCUUGCUUUCUUCAAAAAUGUCUUCUAGCAUCACCGCCCUGGUUUUUCAAUCUUACGGUGUUUAAGAAAGCCAAGCAAUCUGACAGACUACUUUGCUGCUACUGCUGUACUUUUUGCUUUUGUUUCUACUUUCAAUAUUUAACUUGUGAUUUUAGCUGUAACUGUCAUAUGUAUUCUCUAGCAUUGAAGUGUUUUUCCCCUAGACAGUGUUUUCAAUAAAAAUGCCUUUUAAUAUAAAAAUACUUUUUUCUCUUUC
rnacentral:lncRNA from 1 species